rnacentral:rRNA from 1 species
AUUGAACGCUGGCGGCAUGCCUUACACAUGCAAGUCGAACGGUAACGGGCCUUCGGGUGCCGACGAGUGGCGAACGGGUGAGUAAUGUAUCGGAACGUACCUUUCAGUGGGGGAUAACGUAGCGAAAGCUACGCUAAUACCGCAUAUUCUGUGCGCAGGAAAGCAGGGGAUCGCAAGACCUUGCGCUGAUUGAGCGGCCGAUAUCAGAUUAGCUAGUUGGUGAGGUAAAGGCUCACCAAGGCGAUGAUCUGUAGCGGGUCUGAGAGGAUGAUCCGCCAAACUGGAACUGAGACACGGUCCAGACCCCUACGGGAGGCAGCAGUGGGGAAUUUUGGACAAUGGGGGCAACCCUGAUCCAGCCAUGCCGCGUGAGUGAAGAAGGCCUUCGGGUUGUAAAGCUCUUUCGGCCGGGAAGAAAUCGUACAGGUUAAUACCCUGUGCGGAUGACGGUACCGGCAUAAGAAGCACCGGCUAACUACGUGCCAGCCGCCGCAGUAAAAC